rnacentral:lncRNA from 10 species
GCAACCGCCUCUGACACGAUCACUGUUUUGGCUGCAGCCACAGCUUCAUCCGCUUCAGCUCCGAUAUUUUCUCAGAGCAGAGAGCACAGGGAAGCUGGGAGGAGUUCUCCUAGAUGGGAGUGAUGGAAGCUCCCGCUGGAGAACACUUUCUGGUCUUGAGCCUCCUGAUCUCUUGAUCCCUAUGGCAGUGAGCCCUGACUCUUGCUCUUGUUGCCACCAGUUCAUCUGUCGGUGUUGGCAGGAACCUGAAGGACCAGGGAACCAGGCUGACCAGAAGGCCUACGAGGAGAAACAGUAAGCUUCAGAGGCUGAAGUGGAAAGCCAGGCGUCCAUUUCUCUGCCUGCAGAAUGAGUCCCCAGAGAGGCCAGCGGCCAUGGCAAGGUGUCAGGGGCCCUGGCACAGGGCAGGGCUGCGAGAAGGCCACAUGGUUGGAACUGUGGGCAUGUGACCAGGAAGCUGUGGCUCUG